CAGAGCGAACGCUAGCGGCGAGCUUAACACAUGCAAGUCGAGCGGAGGGUUUCGGCCCUCAGCGGCGGACGGGUGAGUAACACGUAGGUUACGUGCCCUUUGGUGGGGAAUAACUUAGGGAAACCUGAGCUAAUACCGCAUAUGCCCUUCGGGGUGAAAGUCUUCGGACGCCAGAGGAUCGGCCUGCGGCCCAUUAUUUAAUCCUUGUUGGUGGGGUAAUGGCCUACCAAGCCGACGAUCCAUAGCUGGUUUGAGAGGAUGAUCAGCCACACUGGGACUGAGACACGGCCCAGACUCCUACGGGAGGCAGCAGUGGGGAAUCUUAGACAAUGGGCGCAAGCCUGAUCUAGCCAUGCCGCGUGAGCGAUGAAGGCCUUAGGGUUGUAAAGCUCUUUCAGUGGGGAAGAUAAUGACUGUACCCACAGAAGAAGCCCCGGCUAACUCCGUG
rnacentral:rRNA from 1 species